ACCGCACGUCGCGUGGUGU
rnacentral:siRNA from 1 species